UACGGAGGGAGCUAGCGUUGUUCGGAAUCACUGGGCGUAAAGCGCACGUAGGCGGAUUUUUAAGUCAGGGGUGAAAUCCCGGGGCUCAACCUCGGAACUGCCUUUGAUACUGGAGAUCUUGAGUCCGGAAGAGGUAAGUGGAACUGCGAGUGUAGAGGUGAAAUUCGUAGAUAUUCGCAAGAACACCAGUGGCGAAGGCGGCUUACUGGUCCGGAACUGACGCUGAGGUGCGAAAGCGUGGGGAGCAAACAGG
rnacentral:rRNA from 1 species